UAGUAUUAUCAAUAUCCGUAUUGCGUCUUUUCGAGUUCUCACUUCAGUUGCAGAUGUGUGAAUUUUCGUUCCUAUUACUUCUGUCAAAUAUCAUCACUGCCGUCUCAAUUUAUCUGGCAACGACUGUAACAUAAUUAUAUUUUCGAUAUAAAAUGAUUUAUUGAUUUAGGCAAUUUUGACAGAGCUGUUAGGAAACACAACAUAUGAAGGUAAUAAAUUCAACUGUAAGAACAAUAUUACAAUAUCACAGGAAGACCUUCUUCAAUACAAACCUAACCAAGUUCAAUACAGUCUAAAAUACAUAUUAAAGAUAUUCACCCUACACAAUAAAUAAAUGAAACCUUUCUCAAAGCACUUCAUUUAAUAUAUCAGAAAUCCGCUGUUAAUAAAAUAUUUGGCCAACCUGAUGAAGCUGAACUUUAUAAACUCUCUAUAAAAGUAGCACUUGAGCUACAACCAAGCAUUCAAAAUAUGAUAGCAAGCGCUUGGGCUAUGAAUACUAUUCAUUUUACUAUGAAUUAGUAUCAAGUUAAAAUUCUCUUUAUUUAAAAAUAAAAUGUUUUUUUUAUCUUAGGC